rnacentral:rRNA from 1 species
UACGUAGGGGGCAAGCGUUGUCCGGAAUCAUUGGGCGUAAAGAGCGUGUAGGCGGCCCGAUAAGUCCGCCGUGAAAGUCCAGGGCUCAACCCUGGAAUGCCGGUGGAAACUGUCGGGCUGGAGUCCGGAAGAGGCGAGUGGAAUUCCUGGUGUAGCGGUGAAAUGCGCAGAUAUCGGGAAGAACACCCGUGGCGAAGGCGGUUCUCUGGGACGGUACUGACGCUGAGACGCGAAAGCGUGGGGAGCGAACAGG